rnacentral:rRNA from 1 species
UACAGAGGUCUCAAGCGUUGUUCGGAUUCAUUGGGCGUAAAGGGUGCGUAGGCGGCGCGGUAAGUCGGGUGUGAAAUCUUGGAGCUUAACUCCGAAACUGCAUUCGAUACUGCCGUGCUUGAGGACUGGAGAGGAGACUGGAAUUUACGGCGUAGCGGUGAAAUGCGUAGAUAUCGUAAGGAAGACCAGUGGCGAAGGCGGGUCUCUGGACAGUUCCUGACGCUGAGGCACGAAGGCCAGGGGAGCAAACGGG